rnacentral:snRNA from 1 species
AUAUUUACCUAGCAGGGAAGAUACCAUGAAAAAAAAAGAUGGUUUCCUCAGGAAACUACAGACAUGCCAAACCCUACAACUUCCUCAAAUGUAGGGAACUCGACUGCAUAAUUUGCAGUAAUGGGGAAUUGCCUUUGCGCUUUCUCUU